AGUGUUUUAGUUCGUUUCACUUCUGUAUUCUGAGUUUGAUUUAACAUUCUCACUAUAACAGAAGAGAAACAGAGAUCUCUUUAUACGACAAUAAUCAUUCUGUGUCAUUCUUUAUAUUUCAAGUUCCCGUUCUACUUUUUGGUUGUCGCACGAAGGAAAAGAGACACGAAGAGGGAAAAAGCAGGAGCAGAAACGAAAAGAAAAAAAAGCCGCAAAUGUCAAACAUACAAGAAAAUAAAUGAGCAUUUUCAACACCAGCUUCUUUCCACCUUCAAUCAAGGUUCCAAAGAUGUUAAACCAACUCAAAACAUUUGUGCUGUGUACAGAUAAGGCACUAUUACUGAAAGAACUACACAGAAAUGGUUUUCUUCAAAGAAGGGAAAUUCAACCUCACAGACUCUCCACGUUCUGGCUGACCUAUUCAUUUCAAUGAAGAUUGAUUGAAUGAACUCAUCCACCAAAAGCAACAAAAAUCCACUAGGGUAUUGGCCAGCAGAUUAGAUACCUGCACGAUACCGUCAGCUGUCUCCUUGACAGGUCCAAAUUGUCAACUGUUACCAUAACAGGUCCAAACUGUCAACUGUCAUCUUGAUAAGGUCCAAAUAACCUGGCCAGUGACACAACAUGCCUCUUCAUACUCACUCCUAUGUCACAAUUUGACCAAAAAUACUAUUCAAGAACUUCAUUGGAAAGUUCUAUCACAUCCACCAUAUUGCCUUUUUCAGACAUUCUCUAAUAAUGUGGGAAGCAUUAUUAUUAACUACGAUGUGGAGCUGAAAAUGUAGCACAAGACUUGGUAAUUUCUACUGUGAAAGCUAUAUGACAUCGGCUAGAAGUUGUGAACAGUGAAAGAGAAUAUAUCAGUGACUUAUUUGUUAAAACUGUUCAUGAAAAAUAAUGAUUAAAAUAAAUGGUGCAGAAAAAACAAACAAAUUUAACUGACAACCCAAAAGAUAAGAAAUCUAUUUUCAAAAUUAACUGUAGGCUUGCAAAGCAACAAGUAAGCUUCUCACAAAAAUUAAUAUUGGUUUCAAAUUUUGGCACAAGGCCAGCAUGUUCAGGAGAGGGUUUAAGUCAAUUACAUCGACC
rnacentral:lncRNA from 1 species